rnacentral:lncRNA from 1 species
ACGUGCUCCGCCAUGACGAUCAACAAACUCCUCACCCUAGUCCGCCGUUCAAAUCGGCGGACUCCCAUCCUCUCCUCCAUCCGAUCCGUCUCCCUCUCCACCUCCGCUGCCGCACCUGUCACCCGCUCUCCACCCUCCCCACCUCCCUCACCUCCUCCUCCCAACGUAAUGGUCUACGAUCGAUUAGCUGAAUCGGUCAAAGCCAAACUCCAACGAUUGGAAAAUCCAGAUCCGCGAUUCCUCAAAUACGGUUC